rnacentral:rRNA from 1 species
CCUACGGGAGGCAGCAGUGAGGAAUAUUGGUCAAUGGCCGGAAGGCUGAACCAGCCAUGCCGCGUGAAGGUCAGUGCCCUAUGGGCGUUAAACUUCUUUUGUGCGGGAGCAAUUAUGGUCACGUGUGGCCAGACGAGAGUACCGUACGAAUAAGCAUCGGCUAACUCCGUGCCAGCAGCCGCGGUAAUACGGGGGAUGCAAGCGUUAUCCGGAUUUAUUGGGUUUAAAGGGUGCGUAGGCUGUGAGGUAAGUCAGCGGGGAAAUGCCCCCGCGCAACGGGGUGAAGUGCCAUUGAUACUGCCUUGCUGGAAUGCGGAUGCCGUGGGAGGAAUGUGUGGUGUAGCGGUGAAAUGCAGAGAUAUCACACAGAACACCGAUUGCGAAGGCAUCUCACGAAUCCGCGAUUGACGCUGAUGCACGAAAGCGUGGGUAUCAAACAGGAUUAGAUACCCGGGUAGUC